rnacentral:lncRNA from 1 species
AGCAGAGAAGAUGGAGACUCAUUUGGUUUUGUUGCUUGCUUUGAUCUUCACUGUAGUUGCCGGCGUUGGAGCCCAAGGCCCAUCCACCUCUCCCGCGCCUCCCACACCCCAGUCUUCACCACCUCCCAUCCAGUCUUCUCCGCCACCUGUUCCUUCCUCACCUCCUCCGGCUCAGUCUCCACCACCAGCUUCCACUCCCCCACCAGCCCCACUCAGCUCUCCUCCCCCUGCCUCCCCUCCUCCUUCAUCUCCACCACCCGCAUCUCCUCCCCCUGCCUCUCCUCCUCCGGCAUCUCCACCACCCGCAUCUCCUCCCCCUGCCUCCCCUCCUCCGGCAUCUCCUCCCCCAGCCACUCCUCCUCCUGCUUCUCCUCCUCCCUUUUCACCACCACCAGCAACUCCUCCACCAGCAACGCCUCCACCCGCAUUGACCCCUACACCCCUUUCCUCUCCACCAGCCACUUCUCCAGCUCCAGCUCCUGCCAAGGUGGUUGCUCCUGCACUCUCUCCUUCCUUGGCUCCCGGCCCCAGCCUCUCCACCAUCUCUCCCUCUGGCGAUGAUGUAACUCCCUCUCUUCCCAUCUCCACAUGCAUACAUACUUACAUACAUACGUACUUUUUCAUCAAAUAUUCCAACCUGAGAUAUUUUAAAAUUUAGACCAACUCUAAGUAUUACCUCAUCUUUGAAUUGUACAUAUCCACCUUAAUUUUUAAGAUCCAUAAUCUGCUUAAUUAACUUCAAACCAAAAACACUUUCGACUUGUUCAAGCUUCACAGCUAGGAGGCACAAUUUUGAAUUUUACACAUCAAAGGCUUUACAUCAGUUUUCUUUUCAUUUUUUAAAAUAUUUAUAUAUUUUUCUUAUUCUUUUAUUUAAAAAUUAAAUUAUAGCUAGGAUUAUACUGACAGGUGUGGACCAGCGGGUGAGUAUUGUAGCUAAGAUACAGAGUAAUCUCAACC